AUACGGGGGGUGCAAGCGUUAAUCGGAAUUACUGGGCGUAAAGCGCGCGUAGGCGGCUUUGUAAGUCGGAUGUGAAAGCCCUGGGCUCAACCUGGGAACUGCAUUCGAUACUGGCAGACUAGAGUAUAGUAGAGGCAAGUGGAAUUCCGGGUGUAGCGGUGAAAUGCGUAGAUAUCCGGAGGAACAUCAGUGGCGAAGGCGACUUGCUGGACUAAUACUGACGCUGAGGAGCGAAAGCGUGGGGAGCAAACGGGAUUAGAUACCCCGGUAGUCC
rnacentral:rRNA from 1 species